AUGCCUGACAGCGUGCCCUUGGAGAAUGAGCCUGCGAGUUAAUCUCAGUGGCGAGGUUAAGGGAGUAACACCCGAAGCCGUAGCGAAAGCGAGUCUUAAUAGGGCGUAUAGUCGCUGGGAUUAGGCCCGAAACCGUGUGAGCUACCCAUGGGCAGGGUGAAGCGAGUCUAAUCACUCGUGGAGGCCCGAACCCACUAACGUUGCAAAGUUAGGGGAUGACCUGUGGGUAGAGGUGAUAUGCCAAUCGAACACGGAGAUAGCUGGUUCUCCCCGAAAUAGCUUUAGGGCUAGCGUCAUGCGUUUAGAACUGGAGGUACAGCACUGAAUGGGCUAUGGGGCUUACAGCUUACAGAACCCAAUCAAACUCGGAAUGCCAGUUCUCCAUAGCAUGGCAGUCGGACUCCGGGAGAUGAGUUUCGGGGUCGAAAGGGAAACAGCCCAGAUCAUCGGCUAAGGUCCUAAAAUCUAUGCUAAGUGGAAACGAGGUGAGGUUACUUAAACAACC
rnacentral:rRNA from 1 species